GUCAAUCACCCGGCGGCUGCUUUGAUGUCGAAAGCCUUUGGCUGGGGCUCUCUGGGGCUCUCUCCCUGGCUCGCGCACUUACGAGCGCUCACUCUCUCGGGCGCUCCGUGCCUUUCCCAGCAGAAGCCUCUGGCGCUGCCGUCGCCGGUUUCUCGCCCAGGCAGGGCUGGCUGCUGCUACUUAGUCAAACUUUCCUGGGGCUGGGAGGGAGGGACGAAGCAGACACGGGGAGAAGAGGAGGAGGAGGUGCGGGCUGGUCGCUGCUUUAAUCCCUCCGAUUGUCUCGGUCUCCCCUCGAGUUGCCGGCAGAUUCCCUUAAAAGUAAGGAGAGAGGGCUGCUCUCCUCGAGGGGCGCAGAGACCAGUAGCUGUAUUUCAAAGCGUUCCUCUCCUCCUCUCCACGCCCGGCCUUUAAUAUAUAUCUGUAAAUCCCCCAGUCGCCUUCACCGACCAAGAAGUUCGCUUGUUGGUGGCGUGGCUCGGGCUGGGGGGGUGGGAAAGAAGGAGAGACAAAAUGCCCCAGCUCAACAGCGGCGGAGGCGAUGACUUGGGAGCCAAUGACGAGAUGCUCGCCUUCAAGGACGAAGGCGAGCAAGAGGAGAAGAUCCAGGCCAACGUCUUCACCGAGGGGGAUCUGGCUGACCUCAAGUCAUCGCUGGUGAAUGAGUCCGAAAGCACCGGCGGCGGCGGCGGCGGGGAAGGAGGCGGCGGCGGCGGCGGCACCGGUAGCAGCAGCACCACCAGCAGCCAGACUUCUAACGCCGCGGCCACAGUGGCGACAACAGCAGUAGCCCAUUCCGAGGCCAUCAGGCGCUUGCAGGAUCCUCAGAGGGUCUAUCAGGAGAAACUCCCGGAUCACAUGGAGGAUGGCUUAAAACAUCAGGACCCAGGGAUGUAUAAAGGAUCGUCUUACUCUGGAUACCCUUUCCUAAUGCUCUCAGAUGCUUACCUGCCAAAUGGAUCUAUGUCACCUUUGUCCAACAAGGUUCCUGUAGUGCAGCCGUCCCAUGGUGUCCAUCCACUCACGCCACUCAUCCCAUACAGCAAUGAACAUUUCAGCCAUGGCUCCCAUUCGCCACACCUGCCGGCUGACAUCAACCAGAAACAAGGUGUACACCGUCCUUCUCAAACAUCAGACAUUUCUGGUUUCUAUUCCCUCCCUCCUAGUGGAGUUGGACAGAUAACACCUUCUAUGGGAUGGCAGAGCCAGCCUGUCUGUCCUUUCCAGUCAUGUGGAUUUAGACAGCCCUAUACGUCAGCGCUCACUGCUGGGGCUUCUUUCUCUAGGAUCACACAUCCCUUGAUGCUCGGCUCUGGAAUGCACACCACAGGAAUCCCGCACCCGGGUAUCACAUCUCCCUCUGGGAAACAAGAGUUUGACCAUUACGACCGGAGCAUGAAAUCACAACCAGAACCAAAGAGAGAGAAGGAAGCCAAGAAGCCUACCAUCAAGAAGCCUCUGAACGCUUUCAUGCUGUAUAUGAAAGAGAUGCGGGGGACAGUCAUUGCUGAGUGCACCUUGAAAGAAAGUGCAGCCAUCAAUCAGAUAUUAGGAAGGCGGUGGCACGCGCUGUCACGGGAGGAACAAGCCAAGUACUAUGAACUGGCCCGCAAGGAAAGGCAGCUCCACAUGCAGCUCUACCCCGGCUGGUCUGCAAGAGAUAACUACUCUUCUUCAGGCUCUUCGUCCCGUGAUCACACAAAGUUUAACUCAGGGCCCCUGGAAUUCAGCAGCACCUCGGGGCCGGUUUCUGCGGCAAGGGGGAAAAAGAAAAGACGAACAAGAGAAAAACAGCAAGACUCCAACUCAGGUAAAUCCACUGGUGCAAACUCCAGUACAUUAUCUGGUAACCAACGCUUUGUUUAUAUUGGUAGGGGAUUAGUUGAGGCAGCUGAACAAUAGCUAUAAUCUUCCUUUGGAUUUGCAUCUGUGGCUUAAUGUGACUGGGGUAAUCCAUAUCUAUGCUAAUACUACCUCCAUUUCAUCUGUAGACUGGGUUGCUAUCUGUGCUUAUAAACUUUAAUCUGUGUUUCAUUUUCAUAUGAGACCUAACCGCUAUUUCUUCUAGCUUUGCUGCUAUCUGCAAUUGUCUCUCCUGUCUGCUCUCCUCUGACAUGAGAAAAGGAAUACUAUUCAGCUCAUUCCUAGUUGCAUUUUGACACAUCAAAUUUAGCCCCUUCUCUUGCCAUUAACUUUUGUGGUUGUUACCGUUGUAGUUUCCCAAUCGCCUAGUUCUCUGCAAAGAUGCAGAAAGCAAAAGGUCUUUAAAAUGCAGUACAGUAGCAAAUUCUUAACCUGCUAUCCAAGAAGGGACUAUUUUGCCAUAAGCUAGAUUUCUAGGGCAGGCAGAAUCCUAACCCACAGUCUUAUACAUCUGAACUGUAUCUUUGGGUGCUAUCAGGCUAAAACAUCUCAUCAGCGCAAGCAUUUCCACUUGUGAAAUACAAGCCCCCGCCCCCAUGCACACUCUCCCCAAAUCUGCUCCACAGGAUUGAGGGGAGCUCCUAGAACAAAGUUAGGGGGCACACAGAGUGGGAGAAAGACCAACUGCACAGGCAGUGCUUUGGAUAGGAGAAGAGAUGGUAAGGGAACAGCUAGCUACAGAUAGAACAGGUGACGUCCCUGUGGACUAGAGGUGGGCAAAUGUUGGCCCCCAUCUUCAAAAAGUGGAAAAAAGAAGGCCCAGGUAACUACUAGCCAGUCACCUUGACAAUACCAGGAAUGUCCUAGAACAGAUAAUUUAACAGUCAGUCUGUGAGCACUUAGAAAAGGAUGCGGGGAUUACUAAGACCCAGCAUGGAUUUCUCAAAAGCAAGUCAUGCAAUACUAGUUUUUUAUUUUUUUUAUGGAGUUACAAGCUUGGUGGAUAAGGGGAAUGCUGUGGACACAGCGUAUCUUGAUUUCAGCAAGGCUUUUGACUAAGUCCCCCAUGAUAUUCUUGCGAGGAAGCCGGUAAGAUGUGGGUUGGGUGAGAUAGCUGUUAGGUAGAUUUGCAGCUGGUUGACUGACCGAACCCAAAGAGUUCUCAGUCAUGGUUCCUCAUCUUUCUGGGAAAAGGUGACAAGUGGGGUGCUGCACUUCUGUCCUGGGCUUGUUGAUGUUCAACAUCUUUAUAAAUGACUGGGAUAGAGGGGUUGCUCGUCAAAUUUGCAAAUGACACCAAACUGGGAGGGGUAGCUAAUGCCGCUGUUCUCCCAGUCACUGCAUUCUUGGCCCUCCUGUGUGAGGUUAGUUUUGGUAUUUGCCUAAACCUGCUUUGUUUCCCAAAGAGAUGCUGCUUCCAGCAGAAACUGGGUUGAUGUGGCCUGUUUAGUUUUGUCUCCAGCUGCUAAAUUGAUGCUGCAUCUUUUCUUCUUCCUCUUCCUCCUGCUCUUGCUGUUUGUGCCUCUGCCUUGCCCAUUCUCCACCACGCAUGCUCCUUCCUCAGAUCCUGCUUCUCCUAAGAAAUGCAGAGCUCGCUUUGGUCUCAACCAACAAAUGGACUGGUGUGGACCGUGCAGAUAACUCUCUUCACUGUUCUUAGGAGGAAAAAGAAGUGCAUUCG